AGCAGCCGCGGUAAUUCCAGCUCCAAUAGCGUAUAUUAAAGUUGUUGCAGUUAAAAAGCUCGUAGUUGAAUUUCGGGAUCAGUUGGUCGGUCGUGCCUCGGUACGUACUGGUCAAAUUGAUUCCUACCUUCUGACGAACCACGAUGCCAUUAAUUUGGUGUCGCGGGAAAUCAGGACUGUUACUUUGAAAAAAUUAGAGUGUUUAAAGCAGGCUCGCGCUUGAAUACAUUAGCAUGGAAUAAUGAAAUAGGACGUUUGAUUCUAUUUUGUUGGUUUCUAGGAUCGACGUAAUGAUUAAUAGGGAUAGUUGGGGGCAUUAGUAUUCAAUUGUCAGAGGUGAAAUUCUUGGAUUUAUUGAAGACUAACUACUGCGAAAGCAUUUGCCAAGGAUGUUUUCAUUAAUCAAGAACGAAAGUUAGGGGAUCGAAGACGAUCAGAUACCGUCGUAGUCUUAACCAUAAACUAUGCCGACUAGGGAUCGGAUGAUGUUAAUUUUUUAAUGACUCA
rnacentral:rRNA from 1 species